rnacentral:misc_RNA from 1 species
GAUGAAGAACGCAGCGAAAUGCGAUAAGUAAUGUGAAUUGCAGAAUUCAGUGAAUCAUCGAAUCUUUGAACGCACAUUGCGCCCGCCAGUAUUCUGGCGGGCAUGCCUGUUCGAGCGUCAUUUCAACCAUCAAGCCCCCCGGCUUGUGUUGGGGACCUGCGGCUGCCGCAGGCCCUGAAAAGCAGUGGCGGGCUCGCUGUCACACCGAGCGUAGUAGAUCUCAUCUCGCUCAGGGCGUGCCGCGGGUUCCGGCCGUUAAACCACCUUCAUAACCCAAGGUUGACCUCGGAUCAGGUAGGAAGACCCGCUGAACUUAAGCAUAUCAAUAAGCGGAGGA